rnacentral:rRNA from 1 species
AUUGAACGCUGGCGGAAUGCUUUAUACAUGCAAGUCGAACGGCAGCACGGGGGCAACCCUGGUGGCGAGUGGCGAACGGGUGAGUAAUAUAUCGGAACGUGCCCAGUCGUGGGGGAUAACGUAGCGAAAGUUACGCUAAUACCGCAUACGAUCUAAGGAUGAAAGCGGGGGAUCGCAAGACCUCGCGCGAUUGGAGCGGCCGAUAUCAGAUUAGGUAGUUGGUGGGGUAAAGGCUCACCAAGCCAACGAUCUGUAGCUGGUCUGAGAGGACGACCAGCCACACUGGAACUGAGACACGGUCCAGACUCCUACGGGAGGCAGCAGUGGGGAAUUUUGGACAAUGGACGCAAGUCUGAUCCAGCCAUUCCGCGUGCAGGAUGAAGGCCCUCGGGUUGUAAACUGCUUUUGUACGGAACGAAAAGGUCUCUCUUAAUACGGGGGACUCAUGACGGUACCGUAAGAAUAAGCACCGGCUAACUACGUGCCAGCCGCCGCGGUAA